UGGGGAAUUUUGGACAAUGGGCGCAAGCCUGAUCCAGCCAUGCCGCGUGCGGGAAGAAGGCCUUCGGGUUGUAAACCGCUUUUGUCAGGGAAGAAAUCUUCUGAGUUAAUACCUCGGGAGGAUGACGGUACCUGAAGAAUAAGCACCGGCUAACUACGUGCCAGCAGCCGCGGUAAUACGUAGGGUGCAAGCGUUAAUCGGAAUUACUGGGCGUAAAGCGUGCGCAGGCGGUUUUGUAAGACAGAGGUGGAAUCCCCGGGCUCAACCUGGGAACUGCCUUUGUGACUGCAAGGCUUGAGUGCGGCAGAGGGGGGAUGGAAUUCCGCGUGUAGCAGUGAAAUGCGUAGAUAUGCGGAGGAACACCGAUGGGAAGGCAAUCCCCUGGGCCUGCACUGACGCUCAUGCACGAAAGCGUGGGGAGCAAACAGGAUUAGAUACCCUGGUAGUCCACGCCCUAAAACGAUGUCAACUGGUUGUUGGGAAGGUUCCUUCUCAGUAACGUAGCUAACGCGUG
rnacentral:rRNA from 1 species